UACGUAGGGACCAAGCGUUGUUCGGAUUUACUGGGCGUAAAGGGCGCGUAGGCGGCGCGGGAAGUCAUCGGUGAAAGCUCAGGGCUCAACUCUGAGUCGGCCGGUGAUACUCUCGUGCUUGAGCACUGUAGAGGCAGGUGGAAUUCCGGGUGUAGCGGUGGAAUGCGUAGAGAUCCGGAAGAACACCGGUGGCGAAGGCGGCCUGCUGGGCAGUAGCUGACGCUGAUGCGCGACAGCGUGGGGAGCAAACAGG
rnacentral:rRNA from 1 species